GUCAUGUUCCCCAUGUUCCAGGAGCUUGCACCACAUGACCCACACGACAAGUGUGGUCACCACUAUGCGAUCUGUCUUGACCUGAAGAACCAACGUUUUGAGGUACUUGAUUCAAUCCGUUCGGAAGCUGAUGCAGACCUUACUACGCAUGCCGAAUUCUUCAUUAACAACCUCAAAGAGACAUGGAACCGUCACUACAAACAUUCAAAGGUCCAGAUCAGGCAUUUCCCGACUGAGUAUGUGGCGACUGCAAAGCAAGGGAACACGACGGACUGUGGCUUUCACACGCUGGAAUACUUUGCAAAGUGGGAAGGCAGAAUUGUCCCCCCUAUCACAGCUGCAACGGUCGUUGAGCUCCAGAAAAUCUACACAUGGAACUGGUUGACGAAUGAAGAUUUCAACAAGCGGUCCGGAGCACGCGAGUUCGUGGAGGAAGCUGUCAAG
rnacentral:rRNA from 1 species